rnacentral:lncRNA from 1 species
GUGAGUGUUCCUAAAACUCAGUGGAUUUUCUGUAAGAAGUGUGGCAAGCACCAACCCCACAAAGUGACACAGUACAAGAAGGGCAAGAAUUGUCUAUAUGCCCAGGGAAAACAGCCUUAUGAUGGGAAGCAUAGUGGCUAUGAUGGACAGACUAAGCGGAUUUUCCAAAAAAAGGCUAAAACUACAAAGAAGACAGUGCUAAGGCUUGAGCGCGUUGAGCCCAACUGCAUAUCUAAGAGAAUGCUGGCUAUUAAGAUAUGCGAGCAUUUUGAACUGGGAGGAGAUAAGAAGAAAAGGGGGGCCAAGUGAUAUA